rnacentral:pre_miRNA from 1 species
CAUGUACUCCAUCCGUCCGGAAAUACUUGUCAUCAAAAUGAAUAAAAGGAGAUGUAUCUAGACAUAUUUUAGUUCUGGAUACAUCCAUUUUUAUCCAUUUUGAUGACAAGUAUUUUCGGACGGAGGGAGUAAAAC